CAGCCGCCGCGGGAAUACGAAGGGUGCAAGCGUUAAUCGGAUUACUGGGCGUAAAGCGUGCGUAGGCGGUUUGUUAAGUCUGUUGUGAAAUCCCCGGGCUCAACCUGGGAAUGGCAAUGGAUACUGGCAAGCUAGAGUGUGUCAGAGGAUGGUGGAAUUCCCGGUGUAGCGGUGAAAUGCGUAGAGAUCGGGAGGAACAUCAGUGGCGAAGGCGGCCAUCUGGGACAACACUGACGCUGAGGCACGAAAGCGUGGGGAGCAAACAGGAUUAGAUACCCCUGUAGUCCCUGUCUCUUAUACA
rnacentral:rRNA from 1 species